rnacentral:rRNA from 1 species
UACGGGGGGGGGCAAGCGUUGUUCGGAAUUACUGGGCGUAAAGGGCUCGUAGGCGGCCAACUAAGUCGGAUGUGAAAUCCCCAGGCUUAACCUGGGAACUGCAUCCGAUACUGGAUGGCUUGAAUCCGGGAGAGGGAUGCGGAAUUCCAGGUGUAGCGGUGAAAUGCGUAGAUAUCUGGAGGAACACCGGUGGCGAAGGCGCAUCCUGGACCGGCAUUGACGCUGAGGAGCGAAAGCCAGGGGAGCAAACGGGG